GAUGAAGAACGCAGUGAAAUGCGAUACGUAAUGUGAAUUGCAAAUUCAGUGAAUCAUCGAGUCCUUGAACGCACAUUGCGCCCCCUGGUAUUCCGGGGGCAUGCCUGUCCGAGCGUCAUUGCUGCCCUCAAGCACGGCUUGUGUGUUGGGCCCCGUCCUCCGAUCCCGGGGGACGGGCCCGAAAGGCAGCGGCGGCACCGCGUCCGGUCCUCGAGCGUAUGGGGCUUUGUCACCCGCUCUGUAGGCCCGGCCGGCGCUUGCCGAUCAACCCAAAUUUUUAUCCAGGUUGACCUCGGAUCAGGUAGGGAUACCCGCUGAACUUAAGCAUAUCAAUAAGCGGAGGA
rnacentral:misc_RNA from 1 species